AGAACUCUGUUCAAUCCGAAGCUUUACGAAUAGUCGCGUAAAAGUUUAUGUAGGAAGAAUGGAGUUUU
rnacentral:ncRNA from 12 species